AAAAUGCUGACGGGUAAACUUUGAAAAGUUUCACAGGUUGUUUAUUCUAACCUGAGACCACCAUAAAUCAACCUUACGAAUUCGUGCAAAGACUAUCUUCUGAUCUAAACACUACACCUGCAGAUAUGCUGUCCAAUGAUAGGAAAGCUCUUUUUUGUGUGUCCGUUGUUACUGUUCUAGCUAUACAGCCAUCCGCACAGAAGUCAGUGUCAACAACACAGCAGUCGAUGUCAACAGCAGUCAUCCCAACAAAAUGUGUUCCCAAGAUUAAACCUCCAGGAAACACAUGCAACAGAACUCAGUAUUACGAUGAGAUGAACUUUGAUUGUCGACCUUGCAGUCGAUGUUGUAAGUAUUCUGGAGUGGUAUCAGAAUGUGAAGAUGGGUGCAUGCCAUCUUCUCACACAUGUGCAGAGGAAGACAAAUGCAGAGUGCAUUGCGGCCCACCUCCAGUUCUUGACCAACCCAAUUAUAAACCAAGCCUAAAAGAGUAUGACGAGUAUGAUGUUGUGAAAUAUUAUUGCCCACCAGGAUAUAUGUUGUCUGAGAAUGUUACAUCACAAUGUGUUGAACCUGGGAAUUGGUACCCAGUUCCCCCAUCGUGUCUUAAAGUAUAUCAUUGUGAACAGCCUCCUCGUGUUGACUAUGCCAGCUAUGUUCCUGAGAAAGACAGAUACGAUGUCAUGGAAAAUAUAACAUUCUCCUGUGCUGAUUUUCACAAACUAUCUGGCAACAUGACAAUAUAUUGUGGACCAACUGGAGAAUGGUUCAAGCUUCCAUCAUGUGAUCUUGAGGUAUGGAAAGUAGUAGCAGUUUGUGUUGGCAUCUUAGCAAUGAUUAGGUUGGCCAGUUAAAGAGAAAAGAAGCAGAGGAAACUAGUUGAGGGAAAACAGAAGGCUGAAAAGAAAUUAAGAAAGAUUACCCAGCAAGUAAAUGCUAUAAAGCAUUUUAAAGAUUUGCCAAAGUCUGUAAGAGAUGGCGUUAUUUUACGAUGUGAAGUUGCUGGUAAACCAUGGAAAUCCUUAUUCAGAAGGCUUGGGUUUGAGGACGAAAUGCUAAGUUAUUAUGAAGGAAGGCAGGAUCCAUUUAAGGAGGGAAUGGAUGAACUAGCUACCCAAGGGAAUGAUGAUAUCACAGCUAUUAUGGAGGCAAUGUUGUUGACAGUCGUACCUGAAAGCCUGGAAGAUGGUUGUAUUAAGGCCCUGGAAUACCUCAUUGAGUCCAUUGAUGGGGAAGAUGUUGAUGUGAAUACCAAUUCACAAGGGGAUAAUCUCCCACUUAUAUAAAACCCAAGAGUAGAAUAAAGCAUCUUUAUGUAUGGGAAUAUGUUAACUAUGCACUUGCCACUUUGCUAGAAGGGAAAAUGACACAUAUAUUGAAGAUAUGAAGAUCUUAACAGAGUUCAUCCAUGGAAUUUAUUAAUCCGUAUAAUUGGGCCCCUCACAGAAUGGCAAGGCUAGUAUUAUUGCAAAAUACUUACCCCUCAAAAUUUUGACAUUGGGAGAUGUAAAAAUUUGUAUUCAGAAUUAGUAUUCAUCCAAUGAUGAAAACUCAUUUAGUGUCGCUUGUGUUGUGUUGAAAUCCCCAAAUUUAAUAGUUCAAAAUGUGGUAUCUUUAAGACUUUCGAACUAAACUGGAAUAUUCCAGAUCGAAAAUUGGAAGAUAUAGAUUACCAGGACAAGCUGAGAAAAGUAACUUAAUAUUUUCAAAUAAAUGAAUGUUAAACUCUAUGUUUAACAUUCAUUGUGAAACAUUCAUUUAACAAUGUUAAACAUGAUUUUUUUUCAAUUGUGGCAUAGUGAUAUGCAGUCUCUUUGAUGCCAAUAUUCUUCAUGAAUUGUGAUACAAAUUGAUAUUUUUGUACUCUCUGAAGAAGGAUAAGAUAUUGAAGUUAAAUAAUAUGUGUGAUUGAGUUGGUUUUUCA
rnacentral:misc_RNA from 1 species